rnacentral:rRNA from 1 species
GACGAACGCUGGCGGCGUGCUUAACACAUGCAAGUCGAACGGAAAUGCCCUGCUUUUGUGGGGUGCUCGAGUGGCGAACGGGUGAGUAACACGUGAGUAACCUCCCCUUGACUUUGGGAUAACUUCAGGAAACUGGGGCUAAUACCGGAUAUGAGCUCCUGCUGCAUGUUGGGGGUUGGAAAGUUUCGGCGGUUGGGGCUGGACUCGCGGCUUAUCAGCUUGUUGGUGGGGUAGUGGCUUACCAAGGCUUUGACGGGUAGCCGGCCUGAGAGGGUGACCGGCGACAUUGGGACUGAGAGACGGCCCAGACGCCUACGGGAGGCAGCAGUGGGGAAUAUUGCACAAUGGGCGGAAGCCUGAUGCAGCAACGUCGCGUGCUGGAUGACGGCCUUCGGGUUGUAAACCGCUUUCGCCUGUGACGAAGCGUGAGUGACGGUAAUGGGUAAAGAAGCAACGGCUAACUACGUG